rnacentral:rRNA from 1 species
GAGUUUGAUCCUGGCUCAGAGCGAACGCAGGCGGCGUGCUUAACACAUGCAAGUCGAGUGCGCGUUUCCGUAGCAAUACGGAAAUGGCGCACGGCGCACGGGUGCGUAACACGUGGGUAAUCUGCCCUCUGAUGGGGAAUAACUCGCCGAAAGGCGAGCUAAUACCGCAUAACAUUCCUUGGACUCCGGUUCGAGGAUUCAAAGGCGUAAGUCGUCGGAGGUGGAGCCCGCGCACGAUUAGCUAGUUGGUAGGGUAAUGGCCUACCAAGGCUUUGAUCGUUAGCUGGUCUGAGAGGAUGGCCAGCCACACUGGAACUGAGACACGGUCCAGACUCCUACGGGAGGCAGCAGUGGGGAAUCUUGCACAAUGGGCGAAAGCCUGAUGCAGCGACGCCGCGUGGGGGAUGAAGCUUCUCGGAGUGUAAACCCCUUUCGACCGGGACGAAUACCUCGCAAGAGGGGUGACGGUACCGGUAUAAGAAGCCCCGGCUAACUACGUGCCAGCAGCCGCGGUAAGACGUAGGGGGCCAGCGUUGCUCGGAAUUACUGGGUGUAAAGGGUUCGUAGGCGGUGUGGCAAGUCGGGAGUGAAAUCUCUGAGCUUAACUCAGGGGCUGCUUCCGAAACUGCUGUGCUAGAGUGUGGGAGAGGCGCGUGGAAUUGCAGGUGUAGCGGUGAAAUGCGUAGAUAUCUGCAGGAACACCCGUGGCGAAAGCGGCGCGCUGGACCACUACUGACGCUGAGGAACGAAAGCUAGGGGAGCAAACAGGAUUAGAUACCCUGGUAGUCCUAGCCCUAAACGAUCAGGACUUGGGGUGCCACCCGUUCGGGUGUCGUCCCGGAGCUAACGCGUUAAGUCCUGCACCUGGGGAGUACGGUCGCAAGACUGAAACUCAAAGGAAUUGACGGGGGGCCCGCACAAGCGGUGGAACAUGUGGUUCAAUUCCGACGCUUC